UACGAAGGGGGCUAGCGUUGCUCGGAAUCACUGGGCGUAAAGCGCACGUAGGCGGCUUUUUAAGUCAGGGGUGAAGUCUUGGAGCUCAACUCCAGAACUGCCUUUGAUACUGAGAAGCUUGAGUCCGGGAGAGGUGAGUGGAACUGCGAGUGUAGAGGUGAAAUUCGUAGAUAUUCGCAAGAACACCAGUGGCGAAGGCGGCUCACUGGCCCGGUACUGACGCUGAGGUGCGAAAGCGUGGGGAGCAAACAGG
rnacentral:rRNA from 1 species